GACGAACGCUGGCGGCGUGCUUAAUACAUGCCAGUCGAACGGAAAGGCCCUGCUUUUGUGGGGUGCUCGAGUGGCGAACGGGUGAGUAACACGUGAGUAACCUGCCCUUGACUUUGGGAUAACUUCAGGAAACUGGGGCUAAUACCGGAUAGGAGCUCCUGCUGCAUGGUGGGGGUUGGAAAGUUUCGGCGGUUGGGGAUGGACUCGCGGCUUAUCAGCUUGUUGGUGGGGUAGUGGCUUACCAAGGCUUUGACGGGUAGCCGGCCUGAGAGGGUGACCGGCCACAUUGGGACUGAGAUACGGCCCAGACUCCUACGGGAGGCAGCAGUGGGGAAUAUUGCACAAUGGGCGGAAGCCUGAUGCAGCAACGCCGCGUGCGGGAUGACGGCCUUCGGGUUGUAAACCGCUUUCGCCUGUGACGAAGCGUGAGUGACGGUAAUGGGUAAAGAAGCACCGGCUAACUACGUG
rnacentral:rRNA from 1 species